rnacentral:rRNA from 1 species
UACGAAGGGGGCUAGCGUUGCUCGGAAUCACUGGGCGUAAAGCGCACGUAGGCGGAUUGCUAAGUCAGGGGUGAAAUCCUGGAGCUCAACUCCAGAACUGCCUUUGAUACUGAAGAUCUUGAGUUCGGGAGAGGUGAGUGGAACUGCGAAGUGUAGAGGUGAAAUUCGUAGAUAUUCGCAAGAACACCAGUGGCGAAGGCGGCUCACUGGCCCGAUACUGACGCUGAGGCACGGAAAAGCGUGGGGAGCAAACAGGG